UCCCUAGCCCCUGGCUCUACCCCCUCCAUGUGAGCUGACUAGCAGACACUCUGGGCCCUACUAUGUUUAAUGGUACAGCAGAGUUCUGACUACCAAGGUUUUCCCUGUGGAGCCGCUAAGCAGCUUAAAUGGAAGGGAUGUUUCCUUUCUCCUCGUGGGAUAUUUCCUGUAUCCUGCCCAGUGUGUGUGUGUGUGUGUGUGGAUGAGUUAAUUUUGAAUCGCUUUGUGUCCCGGGUGGGUGGAGAUUUCCCUUUUAGAAGCAAUGUAACGGUCUAAAACUGAGCACCACUUGCCCAGUGUGUGUACUCUGAGACCAGGGAGGGCUGACAUGAAACGUGUUCAUGUUGAGAGGACAGAGGGAGGCUGGGGCGUGUGUGUACUUUUCCAGAGCUCUACCUCCCACACCCUGCAUACUUCACACACACACACGUACCCUCAGGUGGUGUUCCAGGUACCCUGGCUUCAUUUGCAUGUCCUGAUAGCAUCAGUAGAACAGUCCUGAACAUAACUAUAUCUGCUGUACCCAGAUCAAUGCUCAUCUACCCCACAAUCAACAUCAACAUAAUUCUGCUGCCUGCCACACAAUGAUACAGCUCUCACUGCAUGUCUGUCACAUCAUGAUCUCUGCUUCCACAUAAUAACCCUGCCUGCCCCAGUCAGCACUGAUCCCCACACUGAUCAGUCUCAGUUUAGUCACGGCCCUCCAACAGCCACACACACCCUACCUAACCCCCGGGCCAUAGUUAGAAUGACUGAUGUCUAGGGUGGGGGGGGGUGGGUCUGUAUAAUGGCUGAGAGGUGUUGUUGAAUGCUGUAGUUUCCUUCACUUCAUGCUUCGCUAGUCAGGCUCACAGUGUUCACCUCUAAAAAGACCUGGGGGUAUGUCACAAAGCAGGAACAAAGUAGGACUGCUGUAAUAGGAUCAGUUUAGCCUUUUAGGUCAUAAUGACCCCUACAGAUCAGACUUUUUCAAACCUCUCCUCUAACGGCCCUAAACUAGCACACCGGUUUUACCUGGUCGAGGGCUUGAUGAUAAGUUAACUAGUUGAUUCGGGUGUGCUAGUUCUGGAAUAGUUCAAAUACAUGGAAUAUCUGGGGGUCUCUGAGAAAAGCUUUGAGAAGGGUUGAUACAGAUUUUAAAUAAAUAAGAUUAUAUGGACGGGGGGGAGACUUUUUAAAUAUGGGCCCUGGGCAUUGUCUUGGACAAGGGUUUAGUAACAAUAAAGAAGCAUUUUCAAUCAGCUUUACGCUUACCUGGUUCUUUCUGUAAUUAGAGUGUGUGUGUGUGUGUGUGUGUUACCAGUAUCGAUACUGGUAUCACAAUACUACAAUACCAAAACAAGCACAAAGCAGACUUCACCCUGUGGUGCUGUUGUACAACAGUGUGUGCUAUUGAUUGCAAAAUAAACAAAUGUGACUCAGUGACAACAUAAGGCUGUUGUUUUUUCAACAUUAGGACUGUUUUCCUCAAGUAAUUAAGUCUGCUUCAUUUUUCCUUUCCUUCCUUACUUCCUAGUAUCGCAGUACUGGUAUCUUGAUAACCCUAAUUUAAGGUGUAUGUGUGUGUUGUGUGUCUCCUGGCUAGCUGAUGUACAUUUGUGGGUAAUAUAAUAGCCUGUGUAUGGUAUGUAAAGGUGUGUGUUGUGGGUCAAUAUAAUAGUCUGUGUAUGGUAUGUAAAGGUGUGUGUUGUGGGUCAAUAUAAUAGCCUGUGUAUGGUAUGUAAAGGUGUGUGUUGUGGGUCAAUAUAAUAGCCUGUGUAGGUGUGUGUUGUGGGUCAAUAUAAUAGCCUGUGUAAGGUGUGUGUUGUGGGUCAAUAUAAUAGCCUGUGUAUGGUAUGUAAAGGUGUGUGUUGUGGGUCAAUAUAAUAGCCUGUGUAUGGUAUGUAAAGGUGUGUGUUGUGGGUCAAUAUAAUAGCCUGUGUAUGGUAUGUAAAGGUGUGUGUUGUGGGUCAAUAUAAUAGCCUGUGUAUGGUAUGUAAAGGUGUGUGUUGUGGGUCAAUAUAAUAGCCUGUGUAUGGUAUGUAAAGGUGUGUGUUGUGGGUCAAUAUAAUAGUCUGUGUAUGGUAUGUAAAGGUGUGUGUUGUGGGUCAAUAUAAUAGUCUGUGUAUGGUAUGUAAAGGUGUGUGUUGUGGGUCAAUAUAAUAGCCUGUGUAUGGUAUGUAAAGGUGUGUGUUGUGGGUCAAUAUAAUAGCCUGUGUAUGGUAUGUAAAGGUGUGUGUUGUGGGUCAAUAUAAUAGCCUGUGUAAGGUGUGUGUUGUGGGUCAAUAUAAUAGUCUGUGUAUGGUAUGUAAAGGUGUGUGUUGUGGGUCAAUAUAAUAGCCUGUGUAAGGUGUGUGUUGUGGGUCAAUAUAAUAGUCUGUGUAUGGUAUGUAAAGGUGUGUGUUGUGGGUCAAUAUAAUUGUGUGUGUGUGUGCGUUUUCUC